AUACGAAGGGGGCAGGCGUUGUUCGGAAUAACUGGGCGUAAAGCGCACGUAGGCGGAAUGUUAAGUUAGAGGUGAAAUCCCAGGGCUCAACCCUGGAACUGCCUUUAAUACUGGCAAUCUAGAGACCGAGAGAGGUGAGUGGAAUUCCGAGUGUAGAGGUGAAAUUCGUAGAUAUUCGGAGGAACACCAGUGGCGAAGGCGGCUCACUGGCUCGGUACUGACGCUGAGGUGCGAAAGCGUGGGGAGCAAACAGGAUUAGAAACCCUAGUAGUCC
rnacentral:rRNA from 1 species